ACCUUCCCCCCGAUAUUCCCUCUGGGGGAGGCCCAGCGGGACCCGCUGUGCCGCAGGGAAUACAUUGUCCUGCUCCCUCGCUGACAGGCAGUCAUGUUCGGAGUGUUUCUGGCGCUGCCCGAGGAUUGCCCCGGCUCUUGAGCAAUGGCGCGGGCGCCAGGAGGGGAACUCCAGCCACCGCAGCGCGGCGAGGAGCGAGCGGGUUCCUGCCAGACCGCAGAUCCCCAGUGAGCCAGCCACGCAGGGCUGACUGCAGCAGGAAAACGUCAUUAAUCCCUCAAGCCAAAGGAACACAGAAUAUGCAUUGGCUGAUUUCAAUUCUGAGACCGAAAUCAGUUACACAGCAGGCAUCUUCACAGAGUUACAAUUUCCCUACCACCUGUAAUCUCAAUUCACACUCCAGCUCCUGUGUACCUGUACCUGUGUGCUUGUUCCUGCUCUAUACAACCAGAUUGGAAUUUCUCAAUUGGCCCAGAGCCACAAAAGUGCACAUCUGUGCUCAGGAGAGCUCUUCAGUAGAUGAUGAGCUAGCUCUCAACAGGAAUACUUUGCUAAACUUAGUUUCAAAGAACUGCUAGGAGUGCAGUCAUCUACUGACAUAGCACUGGGAUCCCAUUUUGGAUAUGCCCAUCCAUGGUGUACACAAUUCCACAGCAACAGCAUAAGUGGUGCAAGGAUCAGGAUAAUGUGGGGUCAGUAGAGAAACACUCAGUUGUUCUAGGAAUAUCUACUCUUUCUUUUCACAUUCCCUUCACACAGACAUUUCUAUGCCUUGUUCAAUGACACCAAUUCCCGCUUUGGUCCUCUGAGUACAGAACAGCAUUAAACCCCUACCAGUCCUCCAACACCAGGUUAUAAACGACCUAAUUCUCUCAUCAUAGAAAAGCUUUCACACAGAGCAUCAUGCCUGGUCUCAGUGUUUUUCCAUUCUGUGACUGUGAACUUUGAUGCUGUAUUAUCCUUAUCUUGCCCUGUGCCGAUUCUGAAGUCUGUCCUUUGUUUAAUGCAUUCUUUCCAAGGGUGAGAGAGAACAUUUGGAAUCACUGUGCCUACAUCUCUCACACAGAGCUUGAGACAAGAACUGCACAGCUACUAUCUUUAGCUAAGCCAGACUUUAAGUCAGAAAGGUGCUUUAAAAUCAGAAUUCCCUACUGUAACCUUGAACAGUGCUAUUUGCCUGCCUAUGCACCAUGCUGGUUUUGCUUCUCUUCCCUUGCAAAAAAAAAGAGGACAGUUUGUUUAACAUAUUCUUUUGAGAAGCAAAAUGCACUGUUGCAUACCCUCCUUUUCACAUUUGCAAUAAAUAUAGAGGCAGACAAAAAAAAAUCAAAAUACUGUUAAAUACUACAAAUUACAGUGAAAAUAUAAGCCACAGUCUUUCCAUGAAAGUUAAAAAAGAAUCCUAGCAGUAAUAGGACUAGAGGAAAUGGCACAAACUGAGGGAGAUCCUUUUAGACAUCUAUGUGGCAGGAGUGAUAUUUAAAAAAUAUAUUCCAAAAUACUAAAAUCUCAUCUCUGAGUGUCAAAUGUUUUCUCCGCUAUUCAGACAUGAUUUUCUGCUAUGGAAAUACAGGAUAAAUUGACACAUGGCAGCUACUCCACAGUAUCCUCUUUUAUGUACACCCUUUAGUCUGUCAGAAGUUGAUAACUGAGGAUAUUGGGGCCUGUAAAGGAUAUUGAAUCUUGUAGACACCCAUAAAUUUGGAGUGUAUGAGAACUGGGUCAGUAGUGAUACUCAAAAGAACAAGCUUAAAGUAACACUGUGUGCUUUGAAUAUGUGUCUUUUUUCGUUAUUCUUUUUAGACACUUGGCAUUCUUCUCGUGUUUUCCCUCCUCAUGAACCUACGUCUCAUUCCCCUGAGAACUCUCACUAUUCUCUAAGUGUACACACCACACCCUUUCCUGCCUUUUCAUCUCAGCUCUCAUAACUCUAUUUCAUGCCAUGUUAGUUUCUCUUUUUUUUCUCUAUGUGAAAGCUGCUGCAUGCUGAGCAAUUCAGUACAUUUCCCUUCUCCCUGACCCUCAAACCCCUUUCCAGUAUUUCCUACAACAGAGUAUGCAACAAUUAAGUCACAGUGUAUUAAUUCAAGGACUUCUCAAAUGUAAUCUACCUUUUCAGGGGCAGUAGCCACAGUUAUCAAUGAAGGGACUUACAUUUCGUAAAAGCAACUCUUUUGCAGUCUUGGCACACUUCUUCAUAAGGCAUCUGACAUAAUUUAACCCUUUGCUUGCACGCUACAAAUGUGUGCAUUUUGUAUGUAUGUAUUUGCUAUUUUAAAUAUAUAAUUCAGUAUCAGAAAAUGUUCUCCUGAUAUGGUCAAAUGCUUAUGUCUGCAAAUAAAGUGUAUUUGAGUUAUUGUACAAGGUAUUAAGUAUGUUGAAGUUAAUUUGACAGUCAUAUAUGCUUAAAUGCAUUGUGUUUUCAGGGUGUUAAUUUGAAAUCUGACUUUUUGCUUAGUCAAACUCUUAGAGUGUUCCCAACACUUCAGUACAACCAGCAGCUUCUAACAGAUACCAUAGAAACCUUCAGAAAAUAUUUACCAUAAUUUUUCUUAUGUCCUUUUCCCUUUCUGGAGCAACAUUUAUAAUUCUGCAGUGGUCUAAGACUAGGACUUGAUAUAUAUACUCCAGAGCAAAAGAUUAUUUGAGUUAAAUACCCCUGUAAAAGUCCUACUUCAACAAAAAAGGUUAUAUUUCGACAUGAAAAACUGGUAGUAUUUGGUAGAGAGUUUGUAUUAAUUUAUUAACAUCAGUGUGGGCUUUUUAAUUUUCUAAUUUAUCUUUUUUCUGAGAGGAAAAUCAAGCCUGUUAAAGGGCUAUUGCUACAUAAUUCUUAACAGCUGAGAAACAGAAAUAGGUUAUAUAAGGAGCAGUUGUUGUACUGCACAUUUUCUAUAAAGUUGUCACAUGAAAAACAUACUUGUCAAGUUAUUCAAUUUAUAGACUUAUUGAAGAUUUACAGCCACUCAAGAUGCUUACAGUACUCACAGGUGGCAUAACUGUGCACGAGGCAGAGUGCCAAACAAAUAGCAGUAGUAACUGUUCAACAGUGUGUGGUGUUUGCAAUAGAUCAGGGUGAUGUGUAUCAGUUUACUUACAAAUGUAAUACAUUUGAUUUCACUUCCAUUCCAAAACACUUACUUGACCUGAGACUUGGCAUGCUAUGCUCCAACUCAAGACCAGCCUAUUUAAUAAACUGACAAAUGCUCUUUAACAGGAGCUAAUAAUGGAAACAUGUUCACUGUGAACUACUACUCAACUCUACAAAAAUUCUGGAUAGCUUUUUUGCCCUGAGAGUUGUUCAUAGCUGAAAUAAUUCCUGUGCUUAUAAUGGCAUUUGCACUGCUCUCCAAAAUGUUUGAGCACUCCCCCAUCUGUGGUCUAACUGCAGCACUUCUGCACAGCUAAAUCUUAUUUCAGACAGAAAAGGCAAAAUGCUGACAAGACAAAAAAAGAAAUGUUCUCCCAUGACUACUCUGCUGUGAAAAUGUUUCUUUGUCUUUUCUGGGAUCAUAUCUUGUUUUAUGUGGAGACAUUGUUAAGAAAGAAAACAUUUUUAGGAACUUGAAGAAAUAAAUUCAUUUGUAGUCUCCUUCA